rnacentral:rRNA from 1 species
GGAAUCUUCGGCAAUGGGGGCAACCCUGACGCAGCAACGCCGCGUGAAUGAAGAAGCCCUUCGGGGUGUAAAGUUCUGUCAGUGGGGACGAAACUUGACGGUACCCACAGAGGAAGCAUCGGCUAACUCCGUGCCAGCAGCCGCGGUAAUACGGGGGAUGCGAGCGUUGUCCGGAAUCAUUGGGCGUAAAGAGUUCGUAGGUUGUUUGUUAAGUUUGGUGUUAAAAGCGGAGGCUCAACUUCCGUAUGGCAUCGGAUACUGGCAGACUUGAAUGCGGUAGAGGUAAAGGGAAUUCCUGGUGUAGCGGUGAAAUGCGUAGAUAUCAGGAGGAACAUCGGUGGCGUAAGCGCUUUACUGGGCCGUAAUUGACACUGAGGAACGAAAGCCGGGGUAGCAAAUG